CAGGGAUUGCCUCAGUAACGGCGAGUGAAGCGGCAACAGCUCAAAUUUGAAAUCUGGCUCUUUCAGGGUCCGAGAUUGUAAUUUGUAGAAGAUGCUUCGGGUGUGGUUCCGGUCUAAGUUCCUUGGAACAGGACGUCAUAGAGGGUGAGAAUCCCGUAUGUGACCGGCUACCUUCGCUCAUGUGAAGCUCUUUCGACGAGUCGAGUUGUUUGGGAAUGCAGCUCAAAAUGGGUGGUAAAUUUCAUCUAAAGCUAAAUAUUGGCCAGAGACCGAUAGCGCACAAGUAGAGUGAUCGAAAGAUGAAAAGCACUUUGGAAAGAGAGUUAAAUAGUACGUGAAAUUGUUGAAAGGGAAGCGCUUGCAAUCAGACUUGCACGCAGUUGAUCAUCCGGUGUUCUCACCGGUGCACUCUGCUGCGUUCAGGCCAGCAUCGGUUCUGGUGGUUGGAUAAAGGCCUUGGGAAUGUAGCUCCUUUCGGGGAGUGUUAUAGCCCUCGGUGCAAUGCAGCCUACCGGAACCGAGGACCGCGCUUCGGCUAGGAUGCAGGCGUAAUGGUUGUAAGCGACCCGUCUUGAAACACGGACCAAGGAGUCUAACAUCUAUGCGAGUGUUUGGGUGUCAAACCCAUACGCGUAAUGAAAGUGAACGGAGGUGAGAACCCUUAAGGGUGCAUCAUCGACCGAUCCUGAUGUCUUCGGAUGGAUUUGAGUAAGAGCAUAGCUGUUGGGACCCGAAAGAUGGUGAACUAUGCGUGAAUAGGGUGAAGCCAGAGGAAACUCUGGUGGAGGCUCGCAGCGGUUCUGACGUGCAAAUCGAUCGUCAAAUUUGCGCAUAGGGGCGAAAGACUAAUCGAGCCAUCUAGUAGCUGGUUCCUGCCGAAGUUUCCCUCAGGAUAGCAGUGUUGAAUUCA
rnacentral:rRNA from 1 species